AGCGAACGCUGGCGGCAUGCUUAACACAUGCAAGUCGAACGAUGGCUUCGGCCAUAGUGGCGCACGGGUGAGUAACGCGUGGGAACCUGCCCUUCGGUACGGAAUAACGCCGGGAAACUGACGCUAAUACCGUAUACGGUCUUCGGACGAAAGAUUUAUCGCCGAGGGAGGGGCCGGCGGCCGAGUAGGUAGGUGGGGAGGUGACGGCUCACCAAGCCUGCGAGCGGUAGCUGGGCUGAGAGGAUGAUCAGCCACACUGGGACUGAGACACGGACCAGACUACUACUGGAGGCAGCAGUGGGGAAUAUUGAACAAUGGGGGAAACCCUGAUCCAGCAAUGCCGCGUGAGUGAAGAAGGCCUUCGGGUUGUAAAGCUCUUUUGUCCGGGACGAUGAUGACGGUACCGGAAGAAUAAGCCCCGGCUAACUUCGUGCCAGCCGCCGCAGUAA
rnacentral:rRNA from 1 species